ensembl:snRNA U2 U2 spliceosomal RNA
AUCACUUCUCGGCCUUUUGGCUAAGAUCAAGUGUAAAUGUUCUUGAAAUCUAUGGCUUUUUCAUAAUAGUUUCCCCACAUAUUAUGGAAAAAUUGUCUAAAGAAACAUUUAUCUAUUACUUAAAGGCAGGGCAACA